rnacentral:rRNA from 1 species
GAGGGUGACCGGCCACACUGGGACUGAGACACGGCCCAGACUCCUACGGGAGGCAGCAGUGGGGAAUAUUGCACAAUGGGCGGAAGCCUGAUGCAGCAACGCCGCGUGAGGGAUGACGGCCUUCGGGUUGUAAACCUCUUUUAGCAGGGAAGAAGCGAGAGUGACGGUACCUGCAGAAAAAGCGCCGGCUAACUACGUGCCAGCAGCCGCGGUAAUACGUAGGGCGCAAGCGUUAUCCGGAAUUAUUGGGCGUAAAGAGCUCGUAGGCGGUUUGUCGCGUCUGCUGUGAAAUCCCGAGGCUCAACCUCGGGCCUGCAGUGGGCACGGGCAGACUAGAGUGCGGUACGGGAGAUUGGAAUUCCUGGUGUAGCGGUGGAAUGCGCAGAUAUCAGGAGGAACACCGAUGGCGAAGGCAGAUCUCUGGGCCGUGACUGACGCUGAGGAGCGAAAGGGUGGGGAGCAAACAGGCUUAGAUACCCUGGUAGUCCACCCCGUAAACGUUGGGAACUAGUUGUGGGGACCAUUCCACGGUUUCCGUGACGCAGCUAACGCAUUAAGUUCCCCGCCUGGGGAGUACGGCCGCAAGGCUAAAACUCAAAGGAAUGGACGGGGACCCGCACAAGCGGCGGAGCAUGCGGAUUAA